rnacentral:rRNA from 1 species
GUGGGGAAUCUUGCGCAAUGGACGAAAGUCUGACGCAGCCAUGCCGCGUGAAUGAUGAAGGUCUUAGGAUUGUAAAGUUCUUUAGCCUGUGACGAUGAUGACGGUAACAGGAGAAUAAGCCCCGGCUAACUUCGUGCCAGCAGCCGCGGUAAUACGAAGGGGGCUAGCGUUGUUCGGAAUUACUGGGCGUAAAGCGCGCGUAGGCGGUUAUGCAAGCCAGAGGUGAAAUGCCUGAGCUCAACUUAGGAAUUGCCUUUGGAACUGCAUGGCUUUGAGGACGAGAGAGGUGAGUGGAAUUCCCAGUGUAGAGGUGAAAUUCGUAGAUAUUGGGAAGAACACCGGUGGCGAAGGCGGCUCACUGGCUCGUUUCUGACGCUGUAGCGCGAAAGCGUGGGGAUCAAACAGGAUUAGAAACCCGGGUAGUCC